rnacentral:lncRNA from 1 species
AAUUGCCACAAUAAAGACCAGCCUCAACUAAAAAAGAUGGAAGAUGCAUCUCUGGACUUUUCUGUUUCCUUCUGGAGAGUCCUGAACUUGACACCAGGAAGAUGUGAAUUUUAAUCUCACUCUUACAUUUUUUGGAGCAAGUAACAUAACCCUUUGGAGCCUCUCUUUCUUCCUCUGUAAAAUAGAGAUAAUACUCAUAUUUUCUACCCCAAGGAUUGUUGGGAGACUCACUUGAAGCAAUGUAUGUAAAAUGCUUUGCAAAGUUUAAAGAAUUAUAUUAAUGUUUGUUAUUCUUGUAUUCAGGGCUAGUGGCUCAUUCAAGGAUAUUAUAAUGCACCAGAGUAACUGAGGGAACUAACAUAAGGAGAGUGACUGGACUUGGGUCUUCUUUGUAAGGUCCUAGACAAAGAAAUUCUCUCUACCAAUGCAGAUUUCCUUUGGGCAAUACUUCUUUCCCCCAUUGACUCCACAGAGGAAGACCGGCAUAAACAGACAUCUGGCAAAGAGAAAAUGAUUUUAGAGUUCCAUUUUGAGGAGGCAGCACACAGUAUUGGAAGGGGUGCUGGCUUUGGAGCAGAGGUCAGAGGUUUUGUGUCUCAUCUCUGUUAUUUGCCACCUGUGUAGUCCCAGGUAAGUCACUCUUCCUUUUUGGAAAUUGCUUUCCCCAUGUAUAAACAGAGAUGUUCAGGGUCCUUUAUGACUUAAAAAUGACCUCAGAUCACCUGUUUCCUGCCCUAGUCUUCUUUUUACUUUCUCAUACCCAACACUCUUGUGCUGAGGUAUAAACAAUUCUAGACCUGGGCUCUUCCUUUUUUUAGAGGGAGAAGUAAAAUUGGCUGAAACAGCAGACUCUCAAAGUCUUGAUUGACAAUGAUCCCAAGAAUCUUGCUCCCCUUUCAAUAGAAGAAUAUGGAGGGGGCAGCUGGGUGGCCCAGUGGAUUGAGAGCCAGUCCUAGAGACGGGAGGUUCUAGGUUCAAAUCUGACCUCAGACACUUCCCAGCUGUGUGACCCUGGGCAAGUCCCUUAACCCCCAUUGCCUAGACCUUACUGCUCUUCUUCCUUGGAGCCAAUACUGAAACAAUAAGAGGUGAAGAUAAUAAGAGGUAAGGGUUAAAAAAAAAGAAAGAAUAUGGAAACCAUUUCCUGCCUUGGUAUUUAGGUCUCUAUUUAGAGUGGGAGCACAUGUAGCAUUGUACAGGAAAUUAUGGGGGAUGAUGACAAACUUUGAUGCCUUAACAGUAUUGGAAAGAGCCUUCAGGGCACUUCUGAAGCCCUUUACUAAGGUCAUCCUCUGUCCAAAGGAAAAAGUGUGUAUAUUGCUGACCUACUAAAGAUUUGGAGAAUCGCUCCAUUGUUCCCGCUGUAUCUGGGGCUGGAUAAGUGGGGAGAUGAUCCAAAGGUAUGACUGGAUUUCAGCAGUGGUCAAGUGCUUAUUGCCUGCAUGCCGGGGUUCUGAGCUG